GACGAAGGAUUCAAGCGUUGUCCGGAUUUACUGGGUUUAAAGGGUGCGUAGGCGGAAGUCUAAGUCAGUGGUGAAAUCCUGCAGCUUAACUGCAGAACUGCCAUUGAAACUGGAUUUCUUGAAUACAGUGGAGGUAGAUGGAAUAUAACAUGUAGCGGUGAAAUGCUUAGAUAUGUUAUAGAACACCGAUUGCGAAGGCAGUCUGCUACGCUGUCAUUGACGCUGAGGCACGAAAGCGUGGGGAGCGAACAGG
rnacentral:rRNA from 1 species